CGCUGGCAUCCUGUUCUUCUCGGCUCUCCCGGCGGCGUGGCGGCGGGCACCUGCUAGUGCGGUGCGGUGCGGCGCCCCUCCUCCCUUCUCCUCCCGCUCUGACAUGGUGGCACGUCGGGCAGCUGCGCAUCGGGCGGGGUCGGGUCGGCCGGGCGCGGCUGAGCAGGGCUGGGCAGUGGAGGCGCGGCGCGGUGGUGGGGCGGCGGAGGCACGGUGAAGGUGCGGCGGGGACACAGUGGUGGCGCAGAGUGGACGGGCCGUCCAUGGCCGGCUCGAGGCAGAGGCGGAGGCCCGCGCCCUCUCCCUCCCUGGCCGGCGGAUCGAGCAGCGCGUGCGCCUGCGCGGCGUGGAAGAGGGUGGCGGCGGCCGGAUCCGCACGCCGCACCGGCCCCUCCUCUAGCCUUGCCUCCUCCUCUGCCCUCGCCUCCGCGGUGAGGUCGGCCGGCCUCGUGGGGUGGAAGCCGCGCGGGCCGAAGCCUACGCGGCGGCCAUGGCGGCAUAGGGCCGCUUCUCCGACGGCUACGCGACGCGCGUCCUCGACCUCGGCCGCUUCCUCCGCCUCCACCACGACGCCCGCACCUUGGAGCAGCGCUAGGACGGCCAUUUGCGCGGCCGUGAGCGCCGCCUCCUGGUCCGCUGCCCACUGUUCUAGCUCCGUCGUGCUCGUCGUCGCCUCUGUUCUCCUACCCCCACCACGCGUUGCCGUCGCCCUCCGCCCGCUGAUGAAGGCCUGCCGAGGCCAUACUCCCCCAACCUUCGGCUGGCCGUCACUCUCUGUCUCUCCACCUGCAUGGUGCCGCUGGCCUUCUUCUCGCUCGCGGGCUGUGCGUGCAGGGGUGACUGCGCAGCGCCUCUGACCUCCGCCUCUCCCCGCUUCAGCCUACAACCCCUUCCUCCACCGCGGCUACCUAAGCGCUCAACCUGAGGGCUGGGAUGUCCGGCCGUCGCGAGGUUGCCGUCCUGCCGCUCCGCCAUCGACUCGCGUUGCCAUCGCGCCACCGUCCCGCGGAGCAUGCCGUGCUGUCGGUCUUGCUCAUUGUUGCCUAGUUCCAUGCCCUCUUCAUCUCAUUUUUUGUCCCACCAGGUUCGAGAGAUAGCACCAGCGAGGAGGCUCAUCCACCCUUUCCGGCAAGCAACUCUUUGGCAGCGACCAGGUAAGCCUUUCCCAUUCUAUACCACCCUCUGUAAUUUUGAUGUGGAAUCUGACACAAGCUAGGCAAGCAUUUGUGAGUGGUAUGGGGAAUUUCGCAAUUGUUGAUUGCUACCAACCAUGCCGAUUUAUAAUGUUCUGUUCAUCCAGCAGACCAUGGCUUACCUUGUCAAUAAGUCAAGUGCUUGUCUGGUGCUUAUUGGGUUAGGGGUGAAUUAUCCAGGCAGGAUUUGUGAUCAGAGAUCUGUACUAACGUGAAGUUGAUCCAUUUCCCCCAUUUGGAAAUCUGUCAAUUUCAUGUUUAUAUCAGAAGAAUUGAAGCUGUCACAUACUAUGAAUGACCUAUGGACAAUUUUUAGCUUCACCUGUUGUGUCCAGCAAGAGAGAUACAUGACGAAUUCAUCUUUGUACAGGAUUUAGAUGAGAUUUCUUUUCAUUGCUACAGGUAGGCCAUCAACUUCACUAUCACUAACCACAAACAAUGAGAGCUGCAGUACAGGUUCCUAUAAAAUUGACUGAAACUUGGUUUCAGGAAGGUAAUUUCAGUAAGCCCUUUUUAGCCCUAUUCAAUUUGGCUGUGAUCUCUGCUUCCAAAGUCUCAAUAUUCUACAGCAAGACAAAAAAUAACGUUUGGAUAGAAAAAUCUUGGUGCCUACCUUGCCCUGUUUCUUGUGAAAAGAGGUCAUCUGUUCUGUUUGUGUGUUGGCUUCCUAAUUUUGUAUGUAUGUAUUUGGUAGAUAUCCUCUUUCAUUGACCGCUAUAAUAUCUGUAUGUGGCGGGCUCUAUUCAAAAGAGGGUAUGAAAUAGGGAAUACGUUUAGAACUGGUGCUGCCUUAAAGCUUGCUGCUACCAUGCAUGAAUAUCCUUAAUUCAUGUUCAAGAUGUUUAAGUUUGCUUACUGGUGUACUCAAUGCUACCCUCCGUUGCAGAAAUCACAAAUAUGAGUCAAUUUAUCUGCACAAACAAGGAACUUGGCAUUGUAUCUCAUACUUGGCACAUAGAAGAUCUGAUCUAAAGUGUGGUUCUCUCAUUCUCAUAUCAUGCUGAGACACUAGCAAUGGUGUCGCGAUGCAUGAUAGUUUCAUGGUUCAUAAGUUUUUUAUCAGCAACAAAGUUCCUUUCUGAAUAAAGUGCUUGAUAGUUCAGGGUUCAGGCUUUAUUGAAGUGCUUGAUAAUUCACAUUAACAUGUCAUGUUAUAUUCCGAUAAUUGAGUAAGACGAAGGUAUCUGCUACACUCAUGUAUAGAAACUUCUAGGUGUUUAUUUGCAUUUCAGAUAAUUCACAUUAACGUAUUGGAAAUUCAGGAUUGCUGUUCUUUUCCUAUGCAAUCAGCCUUCCUAUCAGCAAACCGAUCGGUUCUAUUCUUGUUAAAUCUAUUUGCAGUGUCCGGGUAACUAUUUACUCCCCAUAGAUUUUGCCAGGAAGGGCGGAUUCAAUCAUGCAGUGAGUAGCCGGUUUGACAGAUUUGAUGAAAAAUUUCAUCUGGGUGAGAAUGGUAUGGCAAAUCAGCAGAGGCGGCCACUCUACAUCAUCGGUGUCACCCUACCACGCUUAGCUACGCACUUCUAUUCCUGCUGAAUAUGUACAUAGGUCAAUGUCUUUUGCUCACCGAUGGAGGGCUUCCUUUGGUGUUCCAUAUCGCAGCCUCCUUCAGCUGCUAAAUAUCCAAGUUACAUUUCAGUGCUUGUAUUAUAAACUAGGUGUAAGCUCGCGCAUUAGCACGGUUAGUAUUUAAAAUUCAAAAAAUUGUAUGUCGUCGUAUCCUUACUAUUUUUUAAAGAUUAUACUAUUUGUUACCAUACA